rnacentral:lncRNA from 1 species
AUCCAGCAGCCUUGGUUUGACCAGUUGGCAAGUGACCAGCUUUUCAGGUUUGGUUUCUGCGGAAUUGCAAGAGGUUCAACGUUGCUGUAACAAGAGCCAAGGCACUCCUGAUCCUCGUGGGAUGUCCAGAGAUUCUUGCCCUUGAUGACCACUGGGGUAAGUUGAUGGAUUACAUCCAUGAGAUGGGUGGUUACUGUGGCCAGCCAUUCCCCCAGGUCACUGACAACAAUCUGGAUGAUUUGCUGCUGAGGUUCAGCAAGCUUGAUCUCCGACCAACUCUGUAUGAAGAAGUGAGCGCACGGGAGAAAGCCGAAGCUCCAGAGUGGCACACCGAGUAUUAGAAGCACAGCACCCAGGCGUGAUUUUUCAACUGAGGGUACUCUUUAUUUUUGUUAUUUUGCUGUAAGGAACUUCCACAUGGAUUUGUUGCAUUAUUAUUUUUCCCCUUUUUUUCUUGUCUUUACUUCAAUGUAAAAACAAAAACAAAACUUAAAAUAUACCUAAUGCAGGAAAGAAAUGAUCAGCAUCUUAGUUUUAUAUUAUGAUUGUCAUUAUUAUAAUCAUUACUAUUGUUUUUAUUAUUGUUGUUAUUAUUAUUAUCAUUAUAGAUAUUAUUAUUAUCAUUUUGUUCUUAUUAAUAUCAUGAUUGUUACUAUUACUAUUGAUGUAACCUUAGGUGUGUAUAGCAAAAAAGAAAUUAGAAUGAUUUAAAAGUCCAAAAGGUGCUUACUUCUUUGUGAUAACUUUUUAAUUUUAAAAAGGAAUAUAGAAAGAAAAUAUAUAUAUAUGAAUGACAAAAAUUGAUAAAUUGUUAAUAAAAACAAUGGAAAGAAAAAAAUAAGGAAGAUAGAAGGAUUGAAAGAAGUCAGGAUUGAUAGAGCGUCUCUUAUGUUUAAUUGCUGAUAUUUCCCAUUGACAUUUACUUUGUGAAAUCGGUUCCAAAUGUGAUCUUCCUGUACAAUCCUUCUAUUUUUUUUAUGCUAGAUCUAGACUGAUCUACAAUGUUAAAAGUGAUUGAUUAUGAACAUUAUGGAUUUAUGGUUUGCUUGUUGCAGUUGGAGUGUCUUUUCAUUGUAAUUUUGUAUCCAUUAUUGCACGAAACACUCUAGUUAGCUUGGUGACAGCAAGGGUUGAAGUUUUAUGUUAGAGCAGAGAUUUCUUUUUACUCUAAUAUAGUGAGGUGUAAUCCAUGUUAUAUAUGGUAUGGUUAAAUAAGGAAAUCAUGUCUUUUUUUUUAUUAUGUGAAACAGACACAGAAUUGUUUAUUCACCCCUGAAAGAAGAAUGUUAAACUAUAUUUGUGUUAUUUACAAAAAAUUGUUUCCAUAUCAACAGUUCAUCAGUUUUGUUAAUUCUACUCUCUUUUCUCAUCUCAUCACCUUUCCUCUCUUCUUUCCUUUUCUCUUCACUCUUUCUCUCUCCUCUCUUCUUCCCUCAGUACUUUCAGCAAUUUUAGGCUUGUUCCUCUUCCUCUGUACACCAACUUUCAUUCAUAACACAAACAAACCAGCCAGCUUUUUCAAUAAUGUACUUUCAGUUAUUCUUGAGCUCCUAGUUAGACAGAGGACAGCGCAGAUAGAAAGCUCACAAAUGAUCAAACAGAGAAUACAGGGGAACCCAGAAACCAGAACCAAACAAAUAUUUUUCUGUGUUUUGACCUCCACUUUUCACAGUAACUCCAGGGACCAAAUAAUUGUGAAGUCGGCAUUCCACUUGCUUUGCUCACAAGGAGUGGAAAGUCUGUGGUUCUUUUGCAGGAGCAUUCUUUGCUUGCAAGGUUGUUGUAGGUCUUCAGUAUUAUUUUGAGGAUUAUUGUUGUCAUUAAGGGUUGUUGUCUUUAUUAUUAUGGCCAUUACCAAUAUUAUCAUUAUUCAUAUUUUUAUUCAGAUUUUGUUACUGUAUUUUUGUCAGCACAUGUGCAGUUAUACAUCUUUCAUUUGAAUGGAGAGAUGCUGAUAUGAAGGACAUUUGAGGGGGGUUAAACCCUACUAGAAUUUGAUGGAUUUCCCUUUGUUCUCCUUUUUCCCCCUUUUUUUUAGUUUUGGGAAGGGGGUAGCUUAAAUAUUAAAAAAUGGUGACAUUUCAUUGCAUUUUUUGGGGGGGGCUUUACUGUAUUAUCAUUCAUAAUGUCAUUAUUAGUCUUGUCAUUUUUCAGUUAUCCUUAGUGACAUAUUAUUACCAUUUAUUGUUAUUGUUUAUACAAUGAGGAUGGUAACAUUAUUUGUAUAAUUAUUUUUUUUUUUAUUGAAGUAAAAAAGUAAUGUUAGUCCAGUGUUAUCCAAUGUUUUACUUUGUUCCAUUACUUUAUCUUAUAGGCUUAAGAAAAAGAUGACAUAUUUUUUAUUGUUAAUGAUCUAUUACUGGAGGAAUAUUUCAUAUUGAUACUGAAGACAUUUCUUUUUAUGAACGACUAAUUUGUUUAUCUCACUUUAAGUUUGCAUAUAUUGCCUUUACUGACAUGCAAGGGCUGCCCUUUGCUUGCACAAGGAAAGUUUAGAUUUAAAGGGUUAGCUUUGUUUUCUUUCCUCUGGAUUUUUGUACUUUUUUCUUUUUCUUUGAAGGUGGGGGGGGGGUACUGUAAUAUGUUAAACUUUUAUUAGCAUUUAUUUAAUAGAUGCUGUAUGAUUUUGUUGCUUUUGAAGUUACAUGUCUGGUAAUAUGCCUAAUGUUGGCAAUUAUAGCAUGGCAAUGCAGUUGUGUUAAACACAGAAUAUGGAGGCUCCAUUAUAAGAAUUGUUCUUAUUGCUAGUCCUUUUCGUUGAAAGGGUUAUAAUUGUACAAUGCCAAAAAAGAGGACAGUUGAGACUAGACUUAUUUUUUAUUAUCAUAUCCCUUAUGAGCACUAAUUGUUGACAAUCCUGUUUAUCUCUGUGAUAUCUCAUUGUUAUUAAACAAAGAGAUAUAAACAUUUUGCUUCUUAAUAUGUGAUAAAGGAAAGUGUUGAUUGUAUUUUUGAUUGUGAAACCUUUUUCCUCUAUGCUCUCAGUCCAUUGCAACAAAAUGCAACAACUUUUCUAUACAAAAGAUAUUUUAGUAUAUAAUGACUAUUAGGAAGUGUACCAUAUAGUGCCUUACAGAUUGAUCAUUAAUUACUCUGCUAGAAUCAGUAAUUUUGCUUGAGAGCUUAAUAUGUCUGUGUAUGCCAUAUAUUACUGGGUCAGUGGUAUUUGCAUUAACCAAAGGAGUCACAAUACAAAAUGUGUGAUUAUUAUUCUUAUUAUUAUGUGAUUUUUCUAUGUUUAAUAACUUUCUUGUACUUAAGAGUAGUAUUUUGUUUCUUCAUAUGUUAUCCUGUCCAAAUUUCUCAUUUUUUAUAUGCAUAUAAAAUGUUUUGGACA